UUUUUAUGUAAAUUUAUUUGAAUGAUUGAAAUAUAAAUAAUUUUUUAAGAAUUUAUUUAAUUUAAAUAAUUUAAUAAAAUAAUAAAAUUUUUAAUAUUUAGAAUAAUUUAUAUUAAUGAAAAUUAACAAUAGAAAAUUAUUAAGUUUAUUAAUAAAAAUUAGUGCCAGCAAUUGCGGUUAAACUAAGAAUAAUAGAUAAAUUUUUUUAAUUAAUAAAUUAAAUAUAUUAGGUUUAAAGAAUUAAUUUUAAAAUUAAGUACUUAUGGUGAAAUAUAAGUAUAAAUUUAAGAAUUAAUAAAAAAAAUAUUAAUUUUUAAAAAUUUAAUUAUAAAUUAGGAUUAGAUACCCUAUUAUUUUUAUUAAAUCAAAUUUAAUUAAUUAUUAAAUGUUAAACAUUAAAGAUAAAAAAUUUGGCGGUACUUAAUAUUUAGAGGAACUUGUUUGUUAAAUUGAUAGUCCACGAAUAGAAAAACUUAAUUUUAUAAUUUUAUGUAUUGUUGUUGAAAAAUCAUAUUAGUAGAUAAUAAUUGAAAAAUUUAAUUAAAUUAUAAGUCAAAUCAAAAUGUAGAAUAAUUAAGAAUUUAAAUGAGUUACAAUUAAAUAAAUAAAUAGAUUUUAUAAUUUAAUUUUAUAAAUGAAAAUGGAUUUAAAAGUAAAUUUAUAUAAAUUUAUAAAUUGAAUGUAUAGUUUAAGUAUGUACAAAUUGCCCGUCAUUUUCAAAAUGUGAGAAAAGUCGUAACAAAGUAAAUGUACUGGAAAGUGUAUUUAGAGGAGAUU
rnacentral:ncRNA from 1 species